rnacentral:rRNA from 1 species
AACUAGCAUAUCAAUAAGCGGAGGAAAAGAAACCAACAGGGAUUACCUCAGUAACGGCGAGUGAAGCGGUAAAAGCUCAAAUUUGAAAUCUGGCUCUUUUAGAGUCCGAGUUGUAAUUUGUAGAAGAUGCUUCGGGUGUGGUUCCGGUCUAAGUUCCUUGGAACAGGACGUCAUAGAGGGUGAGAAUCCCGUAUGUGACUGGAUACCUAUGCUCAUGUGAAGCUCUUUCGACGAGUCGAGUUGUUUGGGAAUGCAGCUCAAAAUGGGUGGUAUAUUUCAUCUAAAGCUAAAUAUUGGCCAGAGACCGAUAGCGCACAAGUAGAGUGAUCGAAAGAUGAAAAGCACUUUGGAAAGAGAGUUAAACAGUACGUGAAAUUGUUGAAAGGGAAGCGCUUGCAAUCAGACUUGCACUUGGUGUUCAUCGGGGUUUCUACCCCGUGUACUUCAUCAAGUUCAGGCCAGCAUCAGUUUGGGUGGUUAGAUAAAGGCUUAGAGAAUGUGGCCCUCUUCGGGGGGUGUUAUAGCUCUAGGUGCAAUGUAGCCUACCUGGACUGAGGACCGCGCUUCGGCUAGGAUGCUGGCGUAAUGGUUGUAAGCGACCCGUCUUGAAACACGGACCAAGGAGUGUACCUAAUAUGCGAGUGUUUGGGUGUUAAACCCAUACGCGUAAUGAAAGUGAACGGAGGUGAGAGCCCUUAAGGGUGCAUCAUCGACCGAUCCUGAUGUCUUCGGAUGGAUUUGAGUAAGAGCAUAUUGGGUGCGACCCGAAAGAUGGUGAUCUAUACGUGAAUAGGGUGAAGCCAGAGGAAACUCUGGUGGAGGCUCGCAGCGGUUUCUGACGUGCAAAUCGAUCGUCAAAUUUGCGUAUAGGGGCGAAAGACUAAUCGA